AGAAGCGCUCAGCUCUGCUCCGCUCCUCUCUCUUCUCUCUUUCCAGCCUCCAUGGCUCCAGUACCCUUCAUCUUCCCCCCAACCCUCUACGCCCUCGAAGCCGACGACGACGACGGCGUCCUCUCCGCCCAGAACCCCACCGACGUCUCCUCCCUCCGCCCCUCCCAACUCGAAGACUUCGUCAAAGGCAUCUCGUCCCACCUUUAGGACAAAGAGCUCUUCCGCAUCGAAGAGCAAGACGUGUUCGACCCCGCCUACUCGGAGGACGAAAUUUGGAAUGGCGACAUGACUUAUACUCAGGAGGCCGGAAUUUGGAACGCUGAGCCUUGAGCGGCGCAACUAGGCGGCUGGGAAGGGUAUUGAUUUCUCAGAAGAAGAGGAAUGAUGGGUAUUACAACGUACCCAUAAGGACCUUUGAUCAGACACGGCGGCGUAGGCAACUUCGGCCUCGUGGGUUCUUGUCACGACGGAGUGUCGCAUUUCGACCGUGAAGAAAGCCCAGGAAAGUCUUGUUGACCAACCCAUCUCUCUCUCUCUCUCUCUCUCUCUCUAUAUAUA